AAAUCAUGUUUUAGAGACUGCAUCAAGUACUACUUGAACCUCUCCCAAGUUUCAUACAAUUGUUCCACUGGAAGUUGCUUGAACUCAAAAAUAUUGUCUCAGAGUUC